CUCUGAGUGGUGCAAAUGGUUAAUACGCUUGGCUGCUAACCAAAAGGUUGGAGGUUCAAGUCCACCCAGAGU
rnacentral:tRNA from 1 species